UUCAUGGGGGUAUAAAUGUGUUUGAAAAUAAUCUGCAGUCGUUUUUGUUGCGAUCGUGGCAACAGUUUUAAUAUUUAAAAUGCAGUUGUAUUUUGUUCAUGGGUUGACUGUUCUAGGCAUUGCAAUUUGUUGCUAUGCUGCUACAAUGCAAAAACGAGAGGCAUGUGAGUAUGCUGGGUUGAAAUCUACACAUACUAUGUGUAUAGAGAAAAAUGUUGGUGAAGAAAUUCCUGUAGAUGAUGGCACUCAAAAAGAAAUAAUAGACAGACACAACACAUUAAGAGCUGGAGUUAAACCGUCUGCAGGAAGGAUGCCAGAAGUGAUUUGGGAUGAUGAGCUGGCUCUAAUAGCAUUAAAGUGGGCACAACAGUGCGUAUUCGGCCAUGAUGAAAAUGAUAACAGAAGGACGAAGGCUUAUCCUAGUGUUGAUAUUGGUCAAAAUUGUGCGUACGACACCAAGACUUGG